ensembl:lncRNA novel transcript
CUGGCAGGAGGCAGGUUCCCGGAAAGGGGGAAGCCCGUGCUUCGGUGGCAGCCCGUGAGAGUGGCUUCUGCGAAAUGGAGCAGCCAUGGCCAGAUCUCACGGGCCAAGUCCCUCUACCACCCCCAGGCCACUCAAGGGCCUGAGGCCUCAGCUGGGCUCAAGUGGGCACCGGGAGAAGCUAGGUAGAAAGCAGAACUGUGAAUCAUGGAUCCAUCUCAGGGUCACCCUGCGGGUUCCUGUGAGCGGGGGUGAAGCCAGCCAUCCCCAGCCUAGACAGCACAGGCCUGACAUCACUGAACCAGCAUGUCACCCCAGCAGCACAGGCCUGAUGUCACACUCCAUCAGCAUAUCACCACCAAAUGCAAAGCCCUGAAGGCACUGCUUCGCCAUAUCACCCCCAACAGCACAGGCCCAAAGUCACUCCCCAUGUUACCCCCAACAGCAUAGCCCUAGAUCAUGCCAUG